ACCUAGCACGUAAGGAUCAUCCGUGGGAUAUUUAUUUAUAAAUCGCAUUGAGCUUUGCUGCAGGCCUUUAUUACGUUAAAAUUAUUAAUUAUUUCCCGCAUGCAACGGUGUUACGCGAAUAGUCGAUUAGACCUAGCCGGGUUAUACAAUAUAUCUAAUCAAACGUCCAACUGGUGCGAUACGAAUAGACACGCACAACACACGCGUUGCUGGAGGAUACAGUGAGCGGUUCACCGGUGACAAAAGUGCGUUAUUUGAUAUCGAUCUGGGAAUGUCAGUGACGAGAUAUCAUCGUUGUUAAUUUGAAAUAAUGAAGGAUUUACCGUCAGUGAUAAUCGAUUUGUUUAUUAUAUGGAAUGUAGUAACUGCAGGGACGAUUACACACGCUCAGGAAAAUCUAAACUACUAUUAUAAUCAACCACCUGGUGGCUACAGAUUUCAAGAAUCCCGAUACUUGACACCGGUCAGACGAUGGGCACCAGACUCUCCGGGCUGGGACGGCGGACCGAGGAGGGGAGUAAUCCUGCGAAGAGACACGCAGGA
rnacentral:lncRNA from 1 species